rnacentral:tRNA from 1 species
GGCUUUGUAGUCAAAUCGAUGAUAUUAAAUUGCAAAUUUAAAGGUGUAUAAUACUAAAGCUU